GAAAACAUCUGGUUCCUUUCAGAGUACAUGGACUGCAAUCAUUUGGUGAAAAGUUGGUAUGUUCUGAAGGUUUAGUGAAGUAUCAAUAUGUACUUUGUUCUUCAAAGAAAAAGGAUGAAGCCCUCAGUGAGGAAACUUCAUCUGCGGACACUUUUGCAAGUCUGAUAAAUGGAUGUGGAUUUGCAGCAAGCUUUACAUCCUUCUGAUCUUUAAAGCACCUAGAUCUGAUAGAAAUAAAUGAAAGAUAAAUCCUUUAGAGAAAGAAAAAGUAAAGAAUUUGUGAAAAAAGCAGUAUGGAGCUUCUCCCCAGAUACCCUCCACUUUACACUACCAUAUGAGUUUAAUGUAUAAUGCAUGAAAAACAGCAUGAGCUGCAGCUGGCCAAAAGAUGAGUCACAGAGGCUAGCCUCAGGAGAUGCUCUUCAAUAAUAAAUAAAUCUAGAACUGACA
rnacentral:lncRNA from 1 species